GAUAAACGCUGGCGGCGUGCAUGAGACAUGCAAGUCGAACGGGUGACUCGGGCUUGCUCGAGUCGCUAGUGGCGAACGGCUGAGUAACGCGUAGGUGACCUGCCCCGAAGUGGGGAAUAACUGCCCGAAAGGGUGGCUAAUACCGCAUGUGGUCGCACGUUCAUUCGUGCGAGUAAAGCCGCAAGGCGCUUCGGGAGGGCCUGCGUCCGAUUAGCUCGUUGGNGGGGUAAUGGCUCACCAAGGCGACGAUCGGUAGGUGGUCUGAGAGGACGAUCACCCAGACUGGGACUGAGACACGGCCCAGACUCC
rnacentral:rRNA from 1 species